GGGUUGUGAGGUUAAGCGACUAAGCGUACACGGUGGAUGCCCUGGCAGUCAGAGGCGAUGAAGGACGUGCUAAUCUGCGAUAAGCGUCGGUAAGGUGAUAUGAACCGUUAUAACCGGCGAUUUCCGAAUGGGGAAACCCAGUGUGAUUCGUCACACUAUCAUUAACUGAAUCCAUAGGUUAAUGAGGCGAACCGGGGGAACUGAAACAUCUAAGUACCCCGAGGAAAAGAAAUCAACCGAGAUUCCCCCAGUAGCGGCGAGCGAACGGGGAGGAGCCCAGAGCCUGAAUCAGUGUGUGUGUUAGUGGAAGCGUCUGGAAAGGCGCGCGAUACAGGGUGACAGCCCCGUACACAAAAAUGCACAUAUUGUGAGCUCGAUGAGUAGGGCGGGACACGUGGUAUCCUGUCUGAAUAUGGGGGGACCAUCCUCCAAGGCUAAAUACUCCUGACUGACCGAUAGUGAACCAGUACCGUGAGGGAAAGGCGAAAAGAACCCCGGCGAGGGGAGUGAAAAAGAACCUGAAACCGUGUACGUACAAGCAGUGGGAGCCUCUUUAUGGGGUGACUGCGUACCUUUUGUAUAAUGGGUCAGCGACUUAUAUUCUGUAGCAAGGUUAACCGAAUAGGGGAGCCGAAGGGAAACCGAGUCUUAACUGGGCGUUAAGUUGCAGGGUAUAGACCCGAAACCCGGUGAUCUAGCCAUGGGCAGGUUGAAGGUUGGGUAACACUAACUGGAGGACCGAACCGACUAAUGUUGAAAAAUUAGCGGAUGACUUGUGGCUGGGGGUGAAAGGCCAAUCAAACCGGGAGAUAGCUGGUUCUCCCCGAAAGCUAUUUAGGUAGCGCCUCGUGAAUUCAUCUCCGGGGGUAGAGCACUGUUUCGGCAAGGGGGUCAUCCCGACUUACCAACCCGAUGCAAACUGCGAAUACCGGAGAAUGUUAUCACGGGAGACACACGGCGGGUGCUAACGUCCGUCGUGAAGAGGGAAACAACCCAGACCGCCAGCUAAGGUCCCAAAGUCAUGGUUAAGUGGAAAACGAUGUGGGAAGGCCCAGACAGCCAGGAUGUUGGCUUA
rnacentral:rRNA from 1 species